UUUUCUCAGUGCGCUCGUCACUCGCGCCUAGACCGGAACGACAUUAUUUUAUUUCGAGGAGUAUUAUAACUCGCGGAUCUUUUACUUAUAUCUCUCACUUUCUCUCACGGGACCCCCCCCCCACGUCGUCAUCAAUUUUUAUUUUAUUUUCUACGUGUAUAUAUAUGUGUGUGUGUGUGUGUGUUUUUUUUUUCAGAUUUUAUCCAAUUGUCUUCCGAUGUUUCUCGUGUGUACUAUCUUCCGGCAUUCGAUCAUCUUGAAGUUGAUCUUUCUUGAAAAACUGGAAUGUCACGUUGCACUUCUCCUGCGAGCACAGGUGAUCUCGUGAAAUCGGAAAGGACUGUUUGAGGGUGGUUUUUAUAGAAAAGGAUAGGCGAGGUUGCAUAAUUGGAAAUGCGCUUCGUAGAGCACUUCGAGAGGAUUUCCUAGGAGGGAAUAAAGGCCGUGGAAAGGGUGUGGA
rnacentral:lncRNA from 1 species